AAUCAACGCUGGCGGCAUGCCUAACACAUGCAAGUCGAACGCGAAAGUGGCUUCGGCCGCGGGUAGAGUGGCAAACGGGUGAGUAACGCGUGGGUGACCUGCCUUCGAGUGGGGGAUAACGUUUCGAAAGGAACGCUAAUACCGCAUAACAUCCUGUUCUUGAACGGAUGGAGAUCAAAGCCGGGGAUCGCAAGACCUGGCGCUUGGAGAGGGGCCCGCGUCCGAUUAGCUAGUUGGUGAGGUAACGGCCCACCAAGGCGACGAUCGGUAGCCGGCCUGAGAGGGCGGACGGCCACACUGGGACUGAGACACGGCCCAGACUCCUACGGGAGGCAGCAGUGGGGAAUUGUUCGCAGUGGGCGCAAGCCUGACGACGCAAUGCCGCGUGGAGGACGAAGAUUUUCGGAUCGUAAACUCCUGUCGAGCGGGAAGAACGGCCUGGGGGCUAACAUCCCCUGGGAGUGACGGUACCGCUAAAGGAAGCCCCGGCUAACUCCGUGCCAGCAGCCGCGGUAAUACGGGGGGGGCAAGCGUUGUUCGGAAUUACUGGGCGUAAAGGGCGCGUAGGCGGCCUUCUAAGUCAGACGUGAAAUCCCUCGGCUUAACCGGGGAACUGCGUCUGAUACUGGAGGGCUUGGAUCCGGGAGAGGGAUGCGGAAUUCCAGGUGUAGCGGUGAAAUGCGUAGAUAUCUGGAGGAACACCGGUGGCGAAGGCUGCAUCCUGGACCGGCAUCGACGCUGAGGCGCGAAAGCCAGGGGAGCAAACGGGAUUAGAUACCCCGGUAGUCCUGGCCCUAAACGAUGAAUGCUUGGUGUGGCGGGUAUCGAUCCCUGCCGUGCCGGAGCUAACGCGUUAAGCAUUCCGCCUGGGGAGUACGGUCGCAAGGCUGA
rnacentral:rRNA from 1 species